rnacentral:rRNA from 1 species
UACAGAGGUCUCAAGCGUUGUUCGGAUUCAUUGGGCGUAAAGGAUGUGUAGGUGGCGCCGUAAGUCGGGUGUGAAAUUUCGGAGCUUAACUCCGAAACUGCAUUCGAUACUGCCGGUGCUUGAGGGACUGGGAGAGGGAGACUGGAAUUCAUGGUGUAGCAGUGAAAUGCGUAGAGAUCAUGAGGAAGACCAGUGGCGAAGGCGGGUCUCUGGACAGUUCCUGACACUGAGACACGAAGGCCAGGGGAGCAAACGGG